AGUGAACGCUGGCGGUAGGCCUAACACAUGCAAGUCGAACGGCAGCACAGUAAGAGCUUGCUCUUACGGGUGGCGAGUGGCGGACGGGUGAGGAAUACAUCGGAAUCUACUUUUUCGUGGGGGAUAACGUAGGGAAACUUACGCUAAUACCGCAUACGACCUACGGGUGAAAGCAGGGGAUCUUCGGACCUUGCGCGAUUGAAUGAGCCGAUGUCGGAUUAGCUAGUUGGCGGGGUAAAGGCCCACCAAGGCGACGAUCCGUAGCUGGUCUGAGAGGAUGAUCAGCCAAACUGGAACUGAGACACGGUCCAGACUCCUACGGGGGGCAGCAGUGGGGAAUAUUGGACAAUGGGCGCAAGCCUGAUCCAGCCAUACCGCGUGGGUGAAGAAGGCCUUCGGGUUGUAAAGCCCUUUUGUUGGGAAAGAAAAGCAGCAGGUUAAUACCCCGCUGUUCUGACGGUACCCAAAGAAUAAGCACCGGCUAACUUCGUG
rnacentral:rRNA from 1 species